UGCGAUCUCAGCUCACUGCAACCUCCACCUCCCAGGUUCAAGCCAUCUUCCUGCCUCAGCCUCCCAAGUAGCUGGGAUUACAGGUGCUCGCCACCACACCCGGCUAAUUUUUGUAUUUUUUUUUUAGUAGAGAAGGGGUUUCACCAUGUUAACCAGGAUGGUCUCGAGCUCCUGACCUCAAGUGAUGCACCCACCUCGGCCUCCCAAAGUGCUGGGAUUACAGUGCCCGGCCCAGGCAGGACUAUUUUUAAGACAAUUGAGCAUGAUUUUAGAAGGCUGCACAAUUGACAUUUUGCCUACUUCCACGUUUCGGUACUUUUCCUGAACAAUGUUUCUUCGUUCCCCCUCUCCUAGUAACGGACAUUUACGUUGCUCUGAUUCUCUGCCAUCCCAAGCAGCACCAUGAGGAACAGCGCUAUGCAGGACCUUCUGCGGAUGCACCUGUGCCAGUCUGUCUGGCUGGGGCCUGCACACUCCGAGAAAGGACUGUGCACUCUGAGGAAGGACUGCGCAGUCUGAGGAAGGGCUGAGCACUCUUGUGGAAGUACCGCCCACUCUGAGGAAGGACCGUGCACUCUGAGGAAGGACUGCGCAGUCUGAGGAAAGGCUGCGCACUCUCGUGGAAGUACCGCCCACUCUGAGGAAGGACUGCUAGGUUGUCUCUCUGGAAAGUUUUCUGUUGCCCAUGCGGAGAAUAUUCAAGUUUUGUUUCGGCCUUCCAGAAUUUCCCUCCUGUUUGGGGGGGAUCAUCCUCCACUCCGUUAUACAGCCUCGGAGGCAGACACCACUCGUCAUCGGAUGUCAAACCAAAGCUCCCCCAGGCUUAGCAGGUGUGGGUGCAGGAGGGUGCGGGAGUCAGAUCUCCAUCUAUCUGGUCUCGCCUUGUUUCUAGUCCUUUGCAGGGGUGUUCUUCCAGCAUCCUCCAAUCCAUCCGGGACUGUCCAUCUUGAGUGACACAAAAGAGUGGGGCAGGACAGCCUGGCCGACUGUCCCUCCGAGACCAGACACGGGGUGUGUGUGUGUGUGUGUGUGUGUGUGUGUGUGUGUUGGAGGGGUCCCCAAAGGGGCACAGAAGUCCCGGGAGGCUUUUCAGAAGAGAAGAGAUGGAGCCUGAAUGGGCAAAAGCAGCAGCUGUGCUGUUAGGAGCUGGAGUGAAUACUGUGAGCCCAGACACCUGGGAUGAGAUCCACAGAUGUGGCCCGGUCCCUUACUCUUUUGGUGCCUCAGUUUCCCCAUCUGUACCAUGGGGAUAACAACAGUGCAUGCCUCAUCGGUUGGUUAUGAUGAUAAACAAACUGGAUUUUAAAAAGGUCUGGCCCAGCAGACUCACUCUGUGUUUGCUGUUAUCAGAACCCUGUCCUCAGACCCUGGCCUGACACCACCUCAUACUCCCUCUCAUGCCUCUUAGUCACUUCCUGAAAGUCUGCAGCAGACGACACGGCUUCUCCCAGCCCGUCUUCUUCCCCACACGGUGGGCAUGGUAACGUCCUUAACAUGCACCUGUCAGUGUGAAAGCAGCAGGCUGAGAUCACACACCAAGUUCCCUAGAGUCGGGGUUUCAGCAUGUUAGCCGAGCUGGUCUUGAACUCCUGAGCUCAAGUGAUCCACCCACCCGAGCCUCCUAAAGUGUUGCGAUUACAGAGGCUACAGAUUUCCUCUCUGGAGAGAAGGAACCGGGGUUGCUCGCUGAGCUGACAAGAGGUGGCAUCCUGGAAAGAUGCAGCUGGCCAAAGCCUGCCCUCCAUACGGAGUCCCCCCCUCGGCCAAUGGCUCCAGCUAAAGGGCCCUGCGUCACAUCCUGAGGCACCCUCGUUGCUG
rnacentral:lncRNA from 10 species